CCCUUAGAUGUUCUGGGCUGCACGCGCGCUACACUGAUGCACUCAACGAGUUUACGACCUUGCCCGAUAGGGUUGGGUAAUCUUUUUAAAAUGCAUCGUGAUGGGGAUAGAUUAUUGCAAUUAUUAAUCUUCAACGAGGAAUUCCCAGUAAGUGCGGGUCAUCAGCUCGCGUUGAUUACGUCCCUGCCCUUUGUACACACCGCCCGUCGCUGCCCGGAACUGAGCCGUUUCGAGAAGACUGAGGAUUGCUGACUUGAGGCCUUCACGGGCUUCUAGUCGGUGAAAAUCAAUUUAAUCGCAGCGGCUUGAACCGGGCAAAAGUCGUAACA
rnacentral:rRNA from 1 species